UACGUAGGCAGCAAGCGUUGUUCGGAGUUACUGGGCGUAAAGGGUGUGUAGGCGGUUGCUUAAGUUUGGUGUGAAAUCUCCCGGCUCAACUGGGAGGGUGCGCCGAAUACUGAGUGACUCGAGUGCGGGAGAGGAAAGUGGAAUUCCAGGUGUAGCGGUGAAAUGCGUAGAUAUCUGGAGGAACACCGGUGGUGUAGACGGCUUUCUGGACCGUAACUGACGCUGAGACACGAAAGCAUGGGGAGCGAACAGG
rnacentral:rRNA from 1 species